AUGACUCUCCAGAACUGCCUGCUGCACAGAUAUGGACUGUAUUACUUCUUGGCAUUGCUGACACUUCUCAUGUCACAUGCUGACGGGCUGCAAUGUUAUGCCUGUAACAUCGUGCAUAACCAGCGGUAUGUGGACGUAGGCUGUUCCAACCCCGAAGUCAUCACCUGCUCCCACUCCCACAAGGGCUUCAAGCAUCGCUUCUGCAUCAGAACCGAAAGUGUUGCAUUGGGAGUCAUGCUGACUAGUGGCUGCGCGACAGCACGACACUGCCACACGCAGGAGCUGCCGGGAGUCAACAUCCACUGCUGCAACUCUGAUCUGUGCAACAGCGCCACCCGCUGGCGGACGACCACCCUGCUGCCUAUUUGCUCAUUGACGUUUUCUCUAUUGUUUCAAGGGCUGAUACUGUGGACGAAGUAACUUUGAAAUUUGAACGUCACGACAAAAACACGGCAGCUACGCUUCCGACGCAUGACAUACAGGAUGAAACUUGAAAAUAUAACUAUAAAAGAUGUGAGCGCAGACCCUGGAGUAUUAGGCCUAGGUCUAUGUUUGGAUAAACCAAUUCUUCACGUAGCCUAGUAUUGUUCUCUUUGGAUAAUUAGGCAAGGCAAGUUUAUUUAUAUAGCAUUUAUAUAGUUUAUAAUUAGCUAAAUCAUUCCCCCCCAAAAAAGGACUUUUAUAUGGACAACAGAAUUUUUUUUUUUUUUUUGUAACUAUUUGUUUUAUUUUGAAGCAUUUUGCUCAGCCAAAAAUGAGAAAUGAUGCUCUUUACAAUAUGUGUGAAAAAAAUGUGUUCAGGAAUUGUAUCCUAUUUAAGGCCCAAAUGUUCUCAAAAAAGUGGUAAUGGAAAUUAUACUGACCUUUUUAUUGUUGUGAGUAUUAUUAUUUAGAUAUUUUCAUACAUAUUUUUGUAAUUUCUUUUAACCAACUGAUCUCAAGCUGAUUUUAAGUGCAUGUGCUUAUGAAGUCUGUCACUCAAGUUCAAACGUCCUAGCAAGAGUAAUCACAGGUUUAGAUUAGCACAUUAUUUUUGAACAUAAUGCACGUUUGACAAUCAAGAAAGUGUUGAAAUACUUAUUGUAUUAGUUUUAAUAUUCAUAUAGGCCUAGGCUAAGGCCUCUAAUGUGCCCCACUACAAGAGUUUUUGUUUAAAAAUUCAUACAAUUUUUCAUUACUGAACAAGUACAUUAAAAUGUUGUUGUCUUACCUCAAAUCCUUACCCCCCCAUUUUUGAUGAAUAGACUUGCUACAUCAUAUCCAUAAAGGUCUGGUUAUUGAGUGAGUGGGUGCUUAGUUUGUAACUGAAAUCUUCAGCUAGCAUUUACAUUGGCAGUUCAAAACAACAAAUCCUUCUUAACCACUGACGAACAACCAGUUGUCAAACAAAUUCCAGAAACUUCAAACUCCAAAAAGUCUGCAAUCAAGAAGGGGAAUGUAGAUCCAGUGCCAAACAGGAUCUGAAACACAGAGGCAGAUAUUAAACUUUAUUUAUGAUUUGAUGUUCUUUCGUCAGCUGUGUUUCAGCACAGCACAUCUGAUGGUAGAACUUCAAAUCGUAUACAGUAUAAAGUUUAAUAUCUGCCUUGGUGUUUCCAUGCAUCUGUGUAAGAUGCUAUUCCUCAAGAAUUAGCAAUUUUAUGUUUCAAAAAGAGAUGCAGAUAGAGAGGUUCUAAAUAGAGCUCAGAGCUCCAGGAGAUGGCAGUGUUUCACAAUCUCUUGACACAGGCAUAAAUGUUCGACCUGACAGAAUCUCUGACACAGCAGAGAUCUUGCAGUGCUCAGUCCACUGUGUUCAUUGUAAUUAGAGCCAUGAAACAUGCCUGACUAGUGCAGUAUUUUAUUAGGAUUCAUUCUUUGCUAGAAAUCAUGUUUAUAAUAUGUACAGCAAUACUUCAUGUGGUUCCUUUGAAGAGGCGACGGAUUCAGAGAACCUUUUAAGAGCAAUGGCCUGUCUUAUGGUGAAAGCUCUUAUGAAAAUAAACGGGAAGAGAUCCGCAGAGGCUCAUGGCUUGUUUUGAUUUGUUUAAUCCAGCCUUUAAGAAAACACAGGCAGUUAGAGCCAUCUCUCACAGAGUGGAGGAAGAAGUGUUUCAUCUUUUAAUGCUUCUCAUGAUUCAUCCAGAAAUUAGCAGAGAGAUUGCAGAGACAGGUUUGAGGGCUGGCGUAUAAAAUGAGGCAGUAAUAUACGCUCCUGCCAGACUCUCAAAACUGUGCACUGUCUCUGAGCUAAUGAGCGCUGAAGCACAAGCUGUACUCACCGUGCAGCACCUGAACUCUCUCCUGUCUUUAACUUCUGCUGUCACAUGCCUCUGACACUGAAAGGACUGCUUUCACAGGCGUUUUGAAAAAUGGUCUGUUGAUUGCAGUGAAUUUGGUGAGACUCUAGAAUCCAUUUGGUGCUUUUGAAUGGAUUUGUUUCAGUUUGUUCAGUAUUUGUCAAUGUCAGACCACAGUUGAAGCCAUGGCAUGAAACUCAUUCACUUGUCAUAAGUCAAUAUUUGUCUAUUUAAAAAACAAAAUGCUUUUUAAAUUAUGAUGCUAUGGUUUUCUGGCUGGUCGCCAGGUCAUUGUUGUGUGAUUGCUAAGGUUUUCUAGGGUGUUUUUUUUUUUUUUUACUGGCCUUAAGCUGUAGUUACACUAGACCACUCAGUGUCUUUUUUAAAAAUAUAUAACAACACGUACAUACGUACAGCACAUUAAAUAUGGUAGAUG
ensembl:lncRNA